UGAGAUUGUACUGGAACCUGCUGCCGAGUACGAUUCCUUCUCGGAUGCGUCUCUACUGCGCAGUGUCGAGAUCGUCGGAGUCGGACGGACGCCACAUAUCAGAGAAAGCCUGGAGGAGGAACUGAGCACGUUCUCCAGCUACUCCAUCCACACAGUAGCUGGUGAUAAGAGCAAAACUUCAGUCCAGAGGAGGAGCA